GGGAAUGUGGCUUAGUGGUAGAGUACUUGCCUAGCAUGCAUGAAGCCCUGGGUUCGAUUCCUCAGUACCA
rfam:Dipodomys ordii contig_56343, whole genome shotgun sequence.